rnacentral:misc_RNA from 1 species
UCCGAUUUGUCACCGGCGGUCUCCCAUGAGUCCCCGGCAUGACCCGCUGGCAACAUGGGACAGGGGUUGCGCUCGUUGCGCCACUUAAGGCAACACCUCACGGCACGGGCUGACGACAGCCAUGCAGCACCUGUGCUAGCCCCCGAAGGACACGGGCUUUCACCCGCUUUAACUAGCAUGUCAAGCCCAGGUAAGGUUCUUCGCGUUGCAUCGAAUUAAGCCACAUGCUCCGCCGCUUGUGCGGGCCCCCGUCAAUUCCUUUGAGUUUUAGCCUUGCGGCCGUACUCCCCAGGCGGGGCACUUAAUGCGUUAGCUACGGCGCGGAAAACGUGGAAUGUCCCCCACACCUAGUGCCCAACGUUUACGGCAUGGACUAC